AAUCCCCGAGUAGAACACAUUGCUCAAUAAAUCAUAAUAUUUGUCCCAUCGAAAAAGUGGCAUUCAAUUUUUCUUUAAUUCAUCUGUAAAUUAAAUAAUUCCGCUCGCUCCUAUUAUAAAAAGUUCAAACAAAUAAACAAAGACAAUUCGGCGCGACCGUGUGAAUGGAUGGAGCGAAAUAUUUAUAUCUGUUAUUGAGACGAGAGUGCAUCGGUAUUGGUUGAAAUAAAAGGUGGGGGGGAAAUGGCACAAGCUCUGUAAAUAGUGCACGGACCGGGGACGAUGCGAAAGAUCAAUGCGUACACCUAAUUUAAUGCUCAAUGCAAUAUCGCCAUCUUUUUUAUACUUUUUUUCUUCAUUUUUUUUCUUCCGCUGCGCGUAUCGAGCCAAUUUAAUAUCGCUGUUGGACAAGGACGAGAAUAUAUACAUUGAAUAUCCAAAGGUAUAUUGGAAUACAUCGUCGGUAUAUUAGGAGCGAUGGUGCAACGGAGCGGCGGGUCUGCGGAGGGGCGGAACGCCGAGCGGCGGGGGGGAUGAGAAAGCUCACCGCGAACGUCGUCGUCGUCGUCGUUCGCACGACGUCGAAACAAAUAAUAAAAUAAGAAGAGUGGAAACAUUCGCAGGACUUGAAAUCUCGAGGAGCAAUGGGUAAAGGAGGAAAAGGUGGCGGUGGAAAGGGUGGAGAUAAGAAAGCUGCACCCGCGAGCGGCGGAGCAUCCGGUGGAAAAGCCGCGGACGCUAAGGGCGACGCGAACAAAAACAAAGGCGGCAAAAAGGGUGGGAAAAAAUAAUGUUCUUUGCGUACGAAGGGAAGCGAUUUAUCACGAAGCGUAUUCGGACCACUUCUACCUCGAUAAUUCCCCUCGCCCCGGCCCCUCAAAACCCUCAAAUUUGUGAUUCAUUAAAUUACUCGCUCGAAAUGCUCGCAUUGUUUAUCAACUUCGUUGAAUAAAGAAUAUUGAAUUUCA